rnacentral:lncRNA from 10 species
CAUUAUCCCCUUGGGGGUUAGGAUUUCAAUAUAUGAAUUUUUGGGAAACACAAACAUUUAGCCCAUGACAGGGGCCAAGGGAGUGAGGUGGGAUCAGAAACCAAGGCCCUCAGAUGUGUGUGUGGCAGGGAGGGUGGUGGGUAAGAAACUCAUCAGUGCGGUUUCUGCACACGCCCUGUUUAUCCAGGCCCUUUGAUUCUCCCCAAGAGGGAGGAGACCAGCGAGGAGACCAGCAUUGGGCAGAACAGAGAAAAGAGGUGGCAAAUUAUUACCCAUUAAGUUCCAGAGCCACAGAAGCAGUUAUAAAGUAGAAAGAUUUGGGAAGAAGGUGUGAUCAGCAGAAAGCAGAUUUUCUUCCUCCCCUUCUGCUGGGACAGAUGAAGAUGUGGCGGGCACGGGGGAUGGAUGGAAAAAAUGGAUGGUGGGGAAAACAUACUAGUUAGCUCUUCAAAAUUUAUCCCAGUGCAGAGGAGUGCAGGUGAACGGACAGGAGAUAAAGAGAGCAGAUGAAUCUCAGGGGCCAGGGACAAACCAGUAGUCAGGGCAGUGGGAGCCUGACACCAAAGGGGUGUGUCUCUGCCGGGGUCUGUGGACUUCAGGCUGGUGUUGGGUCCAGGAGGGUCUGACCCUGCAGUGGUGGACCAAGGUGGGGCUGAGGGGGUGAAGGGUGAGAGCACAGGCCUUCAAGAAGGUAAAGAGUUUGCCCAUGGAGAAGAGGACAUAGCGGAAUCUACAAGAGGUCCUAUCAGCUACCCCAUGCUUGCUUCUAGGAACAAGGACACGUGGUCAGAGGCACAAGGGAGUAAUUGUCAGGGAUCCAAGUCACUUGCAGAGGCCUUUCUGAAUGGUGGGUUCUGAGGUGGCUGUAUCCAGGUGUGGCGUCUCCACCCUUGGCCUUGCAUGGAGAACCCAGGAAGCGAAGCUACAAGGGCAAAGCAGAAGGAUGGGGAUGUAGGCAGUGACUGUGUCCCCCUAAAAUUCAUAUUGAUGUUCUAAUCCCUGGUACCUUGGAAUGUGA